rnacentral:rRNA from 1 species
GACGGGGGCCCGCACAAGCGGAGGAACAUGUGGUUUAAUUCGAUGAUACGCGAGGAACCUUACCCGGGCUCGAACGGCUGGUGAACAAUCCAGAGAUGGUGCGGUCCUUCGGGACGCCAGUCGAGGUGCUGCAUGGUUGUCGUCAGCUCGUGCCGUGAGGUGUCGGCUCAAGUGCCAUAACGAGCGCAACCCUUGCCGUCAGUUACCAUCAAGUAGUGUUGGGGACUCUGGCGGGACUGCCACCGCAAGGUGUGAGGAAGGGGGGGAUGACGUCAAAUCAGCACGGCCCUUACGUCCGGGGCGACACACGUGUUACAAUGGCGGCCACAGAGGGGCACUACCUGGUGACAGGAUGGGAAUCUCGAAAAGCCGUCUCAGUCCGGAUCGGAGUCUGCAACCCGACUCCGUGAAGCUGGAUUCGCUAGUAAUCGCGCAUCAGCCAUGGCGCGGUGAAUACGUUCCCGGGCCUUGUACACACCGCCCGUCAAGCCAUGAAAGUCUGGGGCGCCUGAAGUCCGUGACCGAGAGGAGCGGCCUAGGGCGAAACAGGUAAUUGGGGCUAAGUCGUAACAAGGGUAGG